rnacentral:rRNA from 1 species
GUGUCAGCCGCCGCGGUAAUACAGAGGUCUCAAGCGUUGUUCGGAUUCAUUGGGCGUAAAGGGUGCGUAGGCGGCGGGGCAAGUCAGGUGUGAAAUCCCGGAGCUCAACUCCGGAACUGCACUUGAUACUGCCUCGCUAGAGUACUGGAGAGGAGACUGGAAUUUACGGUGUAGCAGUGAAAUGCGUAGAGAUCGUAAGGAAGACCAGUGGCGAAGGCGAGUCUCUGGACAGUUACUGACGCUGAGGCACGAAGGCCAGGGGAGCAAACGGGAUUAGAUACCCCGGUAGUCC